rnacentral:rRNA from 1 species
UACAGAGGGUGCAAGCGUUGUUCGGAAUUAUUGGGCGGAAAGGGCGCGUAGGCGGUGCUGUAAGUCUGUAGUGAAAUCUCUGGGCUCGACUCAGAGUCUGCUAUAGAAACUGCAGUGCUGGAGUGUGGGAGAGGUGAGUGGAAUUCCCGGUGUAGCGGUGAAAUGCGUAGAUAUCGGGAGGAAUACCGGUGGCGAAGGCGGCUCACUGGCCCGGUACUGACGCUGAGGUGCGAAAGCGUGGGGAGCAAACAGG